rnacentral:rRNA from 1 species
UACAGAGGUCUCGAGCGUUGUUCGGAUUCAUUGGGCGUAAAGGGCGCGUAGGCGGCGGGGUAAGUCUGGUGUGAAAUCUCGGAGCUCAACUCCGAAAUUGCACUGGAUACUGGUCUGCUAGAGGGCUGGAGAGGAGAUCGGAAUUCACGGUGUAGCAGUGAAAUGCGUAGAUAUCGUGAGGAAGACCAGUGGCGAAGGCGGAUCUCUGGACAGCUCCUGACGCUGAGGCGCGAAGGCUAGGGGAGCAAACGGG